GGAGAGAUGUCCGAAUUGGCUAAGGAGCCGGACUUGAAAUCCGGUGAAGCCGAAAGGUGUCUGGGUUCGAGUCCCAGUCUCUCCGCCA
rnacentral:tRNA from 1 species